GGGGAAUUAGUGGAGUGGUACCACGCUGCGAUCGCACCGCAGAGGUCAGGAGUUCGAAUCUCCUAUUCUCCA
rnacentral:tRNA from 1 species